GUAACGGUUCGCUGAAGAUGGGUCACUCUCCUUCGUCGAUCGACCAUCCAACGGCUCAGGAGGCGUGGGAGGAGCUAUUCAUCGUCCGACAAGGCCAUAUGCUCUGUUUUUCUUCUUUUUCACUUUCUAGUUACUGUAAUGGCUAUAUAAGCCAACUCUCUCACUCAUUUGAGGCAUGUAAAAGAUUAUUGGGUAUAAACCCUAGCCGCCGGUGACGUGCUACUACCUUUUCCCUUUCUGUGCAAUGAAAACCCUAGCUCGAAUUUCUAAAAUUCUCGUCUUAAAUCAACUAGUUCUUGCUUAAACCCUGUUGAUCGGGACUCUGGUCCUGACAGAUCCUCUCCCUUCUUUUCCUUCUUCUCAAUCUCCUCUCACCUCUAUCCCUCUUUCUCCCUGGACAGGGACCUCCAUGGCGCUGCCGACCCUCAAUCUCGCCCGAUCCGGCCGCCUCCACGCCAAAUCCGUCGAAAAUGGAUCCACCCUGGCCAGAUCCGCCCGGAUCCGACCUGGCCCCGCCGUCAUUGCCACCGGAGUGCCGCCCCGCUCGACCUGCAGCGCCACCUACAACCGGCAGCCCUUGAAGAACCUCAUCUCUCUGAUUUGCUCCCUAUUUGUUGCGGGAUGGGCAAGAACCAAAUAUAGUAGUUACAACAAAAGGGGUGAAUUUAGAGGAAGAUGCAGCAAGGCAGAGGUAGUAAUCUCAAAAAUGUUCUGAAAUAUAGCGUGAACAGGUGUGGUCUUGCAAAAUGUGAGUUGGUAAACCAAGUGUGGCUGCUGCCCACUGAUUCCUUCCUACUCCCCCAAUUUUUCUCACAAAAUGCAUUUUGUGGUAUGAUGCGACUACUACUGAAGAUAUAACGUUUAAGGAUCUGAAUAUUUGAGCAGAGACCUAUCUUCGGACACUUGAUCAGCUUCAUCACCAUGAAACGGUGAAUCUCUAACAAGGGAAUUUCUUUGUCUGCUAUGUCAUGCAUAUUCAAAACCAUGGGAUCAGCAACUCAGCAUAGAAAACUCAGUUAGCCUGCUGGUUAUUUUUCGGUUGCUCGGCUUUUGAACUCCAUAGUUAGAGAAUGAUGGAAGGGAUUUGGACCUUGCUGAAUUACUUGGAGAUACACCUCUCCAGCCAUCAUUGCUGCUGAUGCCAAGAGGAUUGCUACACGAGACUGGCACUCUGUUUCUCUGCAGUUAUCCUUAUUGACAUUUAUAUGAUGUUGUUUGGGUAGCAACUUUUGAUAUUUCCUGGUCACUGUGGUCAGAGGGAAUAAACAUGGCUCCAAGCAUGUCAAAGUUGCUAUUCUCAGGAUCUUGAUACUGAAAUUGAUGGGCUAUCUUCGAUCUGCUAGAGAGAGAUUUCUUUGCUUCAUUAAUGACUGUUGUUGUGUGCCUUCUGUAGCCAGAAUGAGGGAUUUCAUGUGUUAGGCAAAAGGAUACUUCAAUUUCUUGAGCUUUCUUAAUUCUUGGCUAAAUAUUCAAUCCAUGUUCCCAUAGAGUUUGAUAAAGGCUAAAUUUUGUAUUUACUGUGAGUUUUUUUGCAUAUACAAUUUCUUACUAUUUUUUUGUUACACAUUAAUUUUUUCCCCGUUGCAACGCACGGGCAUAUGUGCUAUAAGAAGUAAUGUUCUCACUUCUAUUUUUUAUGAGCUUCGUUAUCUCAGUCUCAACAACAUCCAGGAGAUGUACUACGUAUUGUUAGUUCAAAAGCUUUCUUUCACAAGUUGGCAACACAAUAUUCAGGAUGUUAAGCAGGUGUUAUAGUUCUAAUUUACUUUCUUCUCAUAACACUUGGUCUCAUAAACAGUAGACUGUAGCCCGAUGUUGCUCACUCCACACUUAUACUUGUUCUGAUUUCUGAUGGCCUCCUAAAUUUGAAUUAUUGUCUUGAUGCCAGGUGGAGGACCUUUGCAACCUUAUCAAGCUUUAUGCUAAACUGACACACUUACUUGAUCCCAUAUUACUCUUCGAACAAUUUUUGCGCAAAGUUAAGGAAGUUGAGGCCAGUAAUUGUGUUAGAAUAAACUUCUUUUUUCCUUUAAGGGUUUGUUUCCAUACUGUGGGGAAGCAGGAUUUGAGUCCCACUAUGAGGGAUCGACCUUCAGAGAUCAGCUACCGGCGUCAUACUACCCCCACAAGGAUUGCAGAGAGCAUGGACCACCAUAUGGAAGAAGGAGAUGCCAUCCUUCACUAUCGUUGUCUUUGGCGUGUUGCUGCCAUUUUUCUAAUCCUUGCACUUCAGAGUCCUCAGUCUAUCCAUGGAUUUGCUGGGAAAAACCAUCUCUAUAAAAUUGAAGAGACGCAUAGAGCAAGAGACAGGAAUAAUACUUCCUUGUGUGCUUCCUGAGAAUCUACAAUGAAGAAUAAGAAGGGGGCAGUAACUAAGUAUGCAUGUCAUUACUGAUUCUAUUGAAAAUAGUUAUACAUACGUUUUUUAGGAAAAUUAAGCUAUAUUUAAAUGUUGCAUGGUUCAAAUAUUGGGUCUAUGAAGAUCUGUUUAUACAAAAAAAUGCAUAAAUAAAGUCUCAUGUGGCUAUGUAAUUCACUUGUUAUAUGUCAAGUUCGAGCUCCAAAGAACAGAGUGAAACUGUUUGUUCCAAAGAAUAGAUGUCACUGUUCGGCCUC